rnacentral:rRNA from 2 species
UACGGAAUGUGCAAACGUUAUUCGGAAUCACUGGGCUUAAAGAGUCCGUAGGCGGCUUGUUAGGUGAGGUGUGAAAUCCCUCGGCCCAACCGAGGAAUUGCGCUUCAAACCGGCAAGCUAGAGGAGGAUAGAGGUGGGCGGAACUGAUGGUGGAGCGGUGAAAUGCGUUGAUAUCAUCAGGAACACCGGAGGCGAAGGCGGUCCACUGGGUCCUAUCUGACGCUGAGGGACGAAAGCUAGGGGAGCGAACGGG